AGGUUGAAAACACGAGGGGAACAACACAAAAUUGUUCACAAUAUUGUCUUUUCUUCUGAAUCCUGCAUAAAGAACUGCUUGUGGAUUCUGACUUUGUGAUCCUCCAUCUCUUCAAGAACUCGUAGUCACCGACUUCCCCACACUAUCCUGGCAGUCCUUGUCCCUAUGUGAAGCUCCUGUCACUGGAUAUAUUCACACCUCAGCUCUCCCAAUAAACGUGUGC